GGGCGGAGUUCAACUGUGUUGCAGGUCCGUUGUGGACAAGGCUUCUUCGUGGGAUUCUGCGACGGUUUAGACAAGGUUUCUUAGUGUGAUUUUACGACUGCUUAGACAAACUUCCUAAGUGUGAUUCUACGACUUCUUAGACAAGGUUUAUAUGUGUGAUUCUAAUACUGUUUAGACGAGGUUUCUUCGUGGGAUUCUACGGCGGUUUAGAUAAGAUGUCAACGUGUGAUUCUACGACCGUUUAAACCAACCAAGUGUGAUUCAAGAAUAUUUUGACAAAGUUUCUUUAUGAUUCUACGACUGUAUAUAAGACUCGUGGAGGUUCAAGGAUGGUUUAUGAAAGAUUCUACGAUAGCUAAGGCAAGAUUUCUUGUCAUUUUACGGCGCUGCUGAGUCUAUAUUGUCAACAGAUAUAUAAACAGGGGCAGUUACAUUAGUUGCCAAAUUCAGCUAUGCAGGGUAGCAUUGCCUAUGAAAUUGUGGAGUCUGAACAAACAGAAUUAUUUCAACGUACUUUUAUAUCAAGGGUUCUCGCUUUAAUUUCUGGUGUCAAUUCUAUGUUAAAGGAGUUACGAGAUUACUGACUCAAGUACUUGAGGCCUCCUGGCUUAUCAGCUGAAAAGUAGGACUCGUGGUGAUUUGAAAAGUAGGACUCGUGGUGAUUUGUGGUAGAAACACAUUUUAAAAAAGGCAGUUCCAGUGCAGUAACCUUGGUAUGACUACUUGAUGCUAAAUAAAUCGGGUGCUUGUGCUAAUUGGUUUAUUUUUUAAAUUUUGGGUUUAAGUGAUUAAUAUUAGUUUCAACCACUCAUAAGACUUAAAAAUUUGUCUUCUAAUGUGAGUUGUAAGCAGUUUUUCUUUACGUGAUGAUCCUAAUUUUCUGUCUUGUAAUUAAAGACUUUUUGUUUAAUUUUUUAGAUUAAUAAAGAUCCUGGAGUUUUAAAUAGGUAAAAAAAGUUUUUUUCUCUUCCUACUAUUCUGGCUGUAGACACUUAAAAGGGAUAGUGCAUAAUUUAAGGCAAAAAUGUUAAUGGGACAGGUGGUAUAUAGGGAAUUACAUUUUAGAUUCCAAAUUUAAGGUUAGUUUACUUUGCCUAAUUUCCUGACCUGGAGUUUCCUUUAAAGAUUUUUUUAAUAUGAUUUGAAGAAUUAAUUUUUGUCACUCCUUUCAAUUCAGUGUGAGAGGUAACUUGCCAUUUGUGUUUUUUUGUAAAUGUCAAGGUUUCAGGUUUAGAAAUAGCUAUACAAAAAAAAUCGG